UAAUUACUACUAUCUAUUUCAAUUAAAAUAAAGGCUUAGUUUCUGACUAGCAUAGUAUGCCAAUCUAUUGCUUGGAUAUUGGACUACAACUGUGUGUCUCCCAGUUCUAGGUAGUUGGAGUGAUUAUAUGCCUUUUCUAGUCAGUAAUAAAUUUUCAAAUAUCUCGUAUUACUUGUAUGUUAUGAGUAUUGAAAGCUUAAGCUGAAAAUACAAAACUCACACCCUUUUGAGCAUGCAAGAGACUGCGAUACUGAGUUUCUCUUGCGAUUAAUACAUUUGUUUAUGUAAGUAUAUCAAUCGUAAAUAGAUAGUAGGCUACAAUCAAAAUAUUGCAUGGUGUUUAUAAUUUAAUUUGAAAUGAUUUAUUAUUGGUUGCGGAACGUGGGUUUAGUUAGGC